AUUCUACUCCCUCCCUUGCACAAUACAUGCCUUCUAUUUGUCAAAAUAUAUAUGUAUCUAGACAUGUCUUAGUAUAUAGGUACAUCCAUUUUUGGACAAAUGGAAGUCAAGUAUUUUGGAACGGAGGGAGUACACA
rfam:Triticum urartu cultivar G1812 contig708283, whole genome shotgun sequence.